rfam:Glossina fuscipes fuscipes unplaced genomic scaffold Scaffold153, whole genome shotgun sequence.
GGAGUAGUGUCAGUACGUAGACGCCAAGAAUGGCGAAUCGUGUAUGCUGCUGGUACGGACCAGCAGUAUCUUUGGAAGAUUUUCACUACC